GCCAGAUAUUGAAGUGAACCACGCCAAACAAUUUUGCUUACAUUUGUUCAAAAUCUUUUACUUGAUUAACAAAACAGUUGUUUAGAAUUUUAUAGGUCUUUUUCUUUUUUAACGACGAUAUAGUAAUAGGCUUGAGUAUCGCGUAUUUUUGAAAACAAACUGUUUGUUAUGAAAGUUAGUUAUAAAAGUAUUGAUAUAUUCAAACAGUUUGCAUCACGAGUAGAAGUGGUUUUACGAGAAAGGAAACAGUUUGUAACACGCGUAGAAGUGGACGAAAGAUUUAUUUUAGUUAAAAUAGUCAACAAAUCAUAUCUUGCAAAUUCUUUCCAAUGUUUUGGUAAAGUAAAGGUCUCUAAGUUAUUAUGUCAGUAUGAAUCUGCCACAACAGAUGAAAUACAGAAAAAAUAGGUUAUACUACCAUGCAAGUCCAAAUUUGUUUUUAUUUCAGUUAGUAAUGUAACAUUUAGUUGAAUUUGAGGAUAAAACGGCGGUGGUUCCUGAUUGCUGGUUGUUACAAGAAUCAGCUACAUGUUAUUGGCCUCAGGGAACUGGUGGAACACAAUGGUCAAAAAUGAAAAAGUUAUUAAUUCCUAAUCACAAAGAUUGGCCUCUUUAUUCUUAUAUAAAAAUGUUGAAAAUUGGAGGUAUAUAAUUUCUAUAUCGUUUUGAAAAUUUUUGAUUAAAUGAUUGUUUCUGCAAAUUAUAAUUUUCUAGACUAUGAAAAAAUAAAAAAGGCAGAGGCUAAAUUUUUGCACUACACAAAUUUUUCUUCAAGUUGUUCGGAAAUAAAACAUGAUUUAAAGAGGAAAAAUUUGCAAACACUUUCAAUUGAGAAAAAGGUAAAAAAAUAAGAAUUCGAAAAUCAAGAAAAAGAAAAAAUCAUGUAGACAGUCAACUUCAACCACUUCCACAGAUCAAAUUGGUAAACCUUCACCAGCUAGUUCUAGCACAAACAUCACAUCUUCAAUUCUUCCUGAUUUAGUAAAACAAGCUGUGGCUGAUGUUGUUUGACCAUAUUUUCAUAGUGUUAUUAAACAGUUGGAGGAAAUUAAUUCAGAGUUAGGUGUGCAGCGCCAAAAGCAAGUUUCUAUUAAUCAUAAUACAAUUGGAAAUCUUCCACAAAACUUUAUAUUUAUAUUAAAAAAAUUGAUGAACUCUUACAGUUAAAGAGCAUUAUUCUGGAAAAUACUGAUCAAAAUGUCGAUCAAAUGCAGUUAUUUUUUUGUUUCUAAUUGAAGGAAAUGGUCUUGAUGACUGUUUGAGUAAAGUUGCUAAGAAAAUCUUGACAGCAAAACUCUCAAUGCUUUAUAACUUUACAAGAAGAAAAGGGAGGUAAAGGCAGUAGUUCAAUGUUGUAGUUUAUUAAAGAAAUCCACUAGCUGCUUUGGCCUCGGGGAAUAGGUGCCACAAAAUAGGCAAAAUAAGAAAUGCACUCACAUUAAAUAACAAACACUGACCUAUUUUUCCAUAAUUAUGGUUAUUGAAAAGUGGAGGAUUCGAGCUCAAGCUUAGAAGAAGAACUACAAAUGCCACAAACAAUGAUGCAUUAAUCAUUUCCUACACCACUACAUCUAUGUGUCUUACUUUUGUGAAAUUGUACUUACAUUUCACAAAAGGUUUGGUAAACCAGACCUGAAAGCUGAUGUUAAUGAGCAGUGGCAGAAAUAAGCCUGCAUCGGACAAACCAUUAAUGCACCUCUCUCAGAUGCCUUGACUUUUCCACUCCAAGAGAUAAAUGAUCUUCUGGAAAUCAACCUAAUUGCAAGAUUCUAAGAAGUGAUCAAGAACAUGCAGUACGAAAACUAUCCCUAAGCGACAAUUAGUCAACCGGACAAGAUGCUGCCAAAAUGGCUAUCAAGUUCAAUUGACAUGGAUGGUCUUGAAAAAAUCGCUAGGAGAGGCGUAGAGGAAAGUUCUUUAGAAGACAUUUAAUUUUUAUAUUAAAUGUAAUGAAGUGUCUUUUAUAAUGUAUUUAUUUUCUUUUUUACAUUGUUGUU